CCAGUUAUUUGUUUACGGGUUGACCUCCUCUACCAGACUAUGAGAUGCUCAUCAGAUAGGAUACUGCUUUAGUCCUCCUGAUGUCCUCUGCAAGACAAGCCAGAAACUGUCCCCAAACAGGCUCAGACUGGGGAUCCUGGCAGCCCUCCUAGAACCCUGGCCCUGGAUCUGCUAUGCCGUCUCCCUGAAAAGCUCAGGAUAGGUAAGGUUCCUAGAGGGUAGGAUGACUGGGCCUCUGGCACUACCCUGAAGCCCUUCUUCAUCACUAACUAUCCCAUCCAAAGCCAGAAAUUCCCAAGCUGGGUCUGCUGGAUCUCGGGGUUAAAGGACAACAUGAGGAAGAAAGAUGCCACUCCCCCCCAGGGCCAGUCAGAGGUCCAUCUCGCAUUAGAGAUCAGGCCACUGGUCAGCUCAAGAUGAAAUGAAGGUGGAGGACCCUGGUGGGAAGUGUAUGGGUAUCACAUGGCACAGAGUCAGAGGUCCACAAAGAAUCAACUUUUGCCCACAUCUUCCCAGGGGCAUCAGGGACGAAGUCUCUCAGUAAGGUCAAGGGCAGGCUCUGUUUCUAGGUGAGGAUAGGGACUUGGCUCCUGGCAAGAGUGGUCCGUGUAUAAACGAUGCUGGAUCCAUGAAAGUUUAAUAAAUUAAUGAAACCCCUGCUCUCACCUGUGGUCCAGGCUGAGAAUCUCUGCAGGGAAAGUUGAUCCAAGCCUGGGACUGUGCAAAGGAUGCCCCCACCUGGGCUGAGAACAAGAGCCCUGGGCAGUUUAUUGGGAAAUCAAUAAGGAGGCGGGCCCUGUCUGGGAGGCCGACACGUUGUAUACAGGCCCUCUGCAAACACAAUCAUCUCCUUGGUUAUUAAUGGGCCUGCUCACUGCCUCUUCAUUAGUGCUCAAAUAUCAACAGAAAACCGUUUACUUACCAUGGGCUCCUGCUCACGCCAAGCAAAUUUGGACAGGGCUAGUCAAACAGGGAGCUUGUUGUUGGGCUAAUGACAGAGCCCAGUGUAAAGUUUAGCAGCCACAGAAGCAGGCAGAGAGGGCAGUGGCCUGCGCCUGCCCCCAGCGGUGCCCCGUGAGAACCAGGUGGGAGAGGAGUGGGGCCCAGGCAGAAGUGGCCAUCCUGAGCCCCACUGCACAGCCGUGGCUCCACGUGUGAACCCUGCUGAGCCCCUCACACCGUGCGGUCAGUCGCAAUUGCCUCAGAUCUUCACAGCGAUCCCGGGAACCAGGCCCGGUAGGAAGCAUGAGGCAACUCCCCAGAAUCCCCUUUUGCAGAUGAGAAAACUGAGGCUUGAAUGAAUUUGAGACUCACUCAAGGUUGUGUGCUUAGGAAGUAACAGAGUCAGCCUGGAGGCCACAGCUAUUGAAUUCAGGUUCAGGGAGAUAUUCCUAAGCAACCCCCACCCCAGGCUGUCUGCUGCCCAUCCUGGCCCAAGAUGCCCUAUGAUGCCAGGAGCACAUCUUGCCCCAAGAUCACAUCCCGCCUGAAGUGGCCCAAGCUGCCUGAGCACUCAGCAUGGACCAGCCAAGGCUGACCUACCCUGAGAGGACUCCCCUCCUACUUGCUCUUGUUCCCAGUAUCUCUUUGGGAAUGUCACUGACAGGGGGUGUCCCUUCAUCCUCGCCCAGCCUUGGCCCCUAAGAAAGCGCUGUCUCUUCCUGGAGUCUCCCCAGAACAACUCAUCUGGGCUCAAUGAGGGAGCAGCCUGGCAAGUUUCCUGAAUGGCCUGAGUGCCAAGUUCCUCUGCCGAGUGGCCCAAGCUUGGGGGAGGUGCCCCAAGCACCUGUUUAACAUAGCAGAUGCCUGUUUAAUGUCUUCCCCUGAGGAUAUUAGAGGCUCUCAAGUUGAGCCCAGGACUCACUAGAAAGAAGAAACCUCUGGUGGCUGCACAAUCAGAGAGGCUGAGGGAAGGGGGCAGGGAGCAGAAGAUCCCGUUCCUGGAGCUGCACCUGUGACCUUGGCAGACCUUGCAUCACAUGCCUGCUGCAAACAGUUGACAAGUUGGGCACUAGGGCAGCCCCAGGUUAGGCCUUGGGGAUGCCAAGCUACACCCCCAUGUGCAGAAGGUUUGGGUCUAUUAUGAAAGUACACAAGCAAACAUGCCAGGUGAUCAGAGCUAAAAGGUCCACAGGAAGGGCCUAGAGGUCAGGGACAAAAGGGGACUUGGUUCUGCCUGGGGAACUAAAGAUGACUUCCUAGAACUAGAAGGAUGAGACUGAGUUUCCGGUCAAGGAGAGAAGACAGGCCUCCCAAGUCCAAGAGCAGUGCAUGCAGACAGAAGGCAUGAGAGAGCAGGACACAGAGAGCGGGCAGGGAAAAUGGGACCAGUCCU
ensembl:lncRNA